rnacentral:lncRNA from 1 species
AUUUAUUUUUCUUAGUUAUCUAGUUUUAGUUAGUUUUAUUAUUUAAUGUUAUUUAAAUACAUGUUCGUAUUUGUUUCUCUUUCGCAAUUUUUGUUUUUUUUCUUCCAAUGUUACAUUAUGAUUAUUUUAUUGAAGCUAUUUAUUUAUUUUAUUAUGUAAUAUCUAUUAUGCUCUCUACUGUUGCUGCCUACAUAAAUUAUUAAGAACAUAAUACAUUUAUGCACUAUUA